rnacentral:rRNA from 1 species
GUUGAAACACUGGUUCCCAUAUGAUCACCAAAGUUAAGCAACAUUGAGUCUGGUCAGUACCAAGAUGGGUGACUGCUUGCAAAUACCAGGUGUUAU